CAUAAAACCUACCGUCUAUCAAAAAUCACAUUUCCUCUUCUUUGCAUCUUUAGACGUUUUAAUGGAGUAUACUGGCAAUUCCUUUCCAUCACUGUAGAUGAUCCCAUUGAAGCGCCAUGCCAGAUUUCUCCUAAAUCUGAGUUCAUCAGGGGGUAGUAAGGACAGUCAUUUUUGCAUUGCAUCCCCGGGCUCAAACAGAAAUGACCCUUUUCUACCGGUUCAAAAAUCUUAUUUGGUCAUUGGCUGUGAUGGGUUCAACCUCCAUCGGUACCUCGUCAAUCCAAUAGGAUGGGCUAGUCAGAUUGUACCCUCAAGUUACAAGGGCGUGCGCUGCUGCAUUUGUCUUUUGAAGGGUAAACUCAAAAGAUAAGUUAACGAAACUGAAUCUUUUUCUUUGGAUUUCAUUAAUAAUGUUGCCAAUCGCUGAUCUAUUCGCUGAGUCUGAUUUAAGUUUUUUAAUGACUGUAAGAGCAACCAAAUCUCGAAAGCCCAUUUAUUCCCUAAAUAUGACGGCUUGAAGGCACGCCUUCGCUUCUGCAGUGAUCGGAACCCCUGUUCUCCCUAGAGGGACCUGUUUUGUGAAUUCACAAUCUUAAAAAAAAUGUUCCACAGUUUCUUCUCCAACUGAGCAAAUUGGACAUGUAGCAUCGUUCCUGAGUCUUCGAAGCUUAAGGUUACUGAGCGUCGGAAGAAAAUUGUUCGAAACUCUCCACAUAUGUAUUUUUAUUUUACUUGGGAGCGGGAGAUUCCAAAGCUUUAUAAAAUAAUCUUUUUUGUCGAUUUGGUCUGUAACAUAAUCCUGUAGUUGUAGAGUAUUAGUCAUUAGCCAUUUAAAGCCAUUCUAAACUGUGUACUCGCCUGAUUUGUCCCCUCGCCAUACUAUAACAUCCGGUUGAGUCCUACUUGCCAAUGGAAUAGAUAGAACUGCCUCAGUUUGAUCCCUUUCCAGUAAGUUCCAGAUUACCUUGUAGUUCUAUGAAAACAAAUCUUUAUUAAUUAGAUAUGCUACUUUGGAAUUGUUGA